rnacentral:rRNA from 1 species
GACGAACGCUGGCGGCGUGCUUAACACAUGCAAGUCGAACGGAAAGGCCCUGCUUUUGUGGGGUGCUCGAGUGGCGAACGGGUGAGUAACACGUGAGUAACCUGCCCUUGACUUUGGGAUAACUUCAGGAAACUGGGGCUACUACCGGAUAGGAGCUCCUGCUGCAUGGUGGGGGUUGGAACGUUUCGGCGGUUGGGGAAGGACUCGCGGCUUAUCAGCUUGUUGGUGGGGUAGUGGCUUACCAAGGCUUUGACGGGUAGCCGGCCUGAGAGGGUGACCGGCCACAGUGGGACUGAGAUACGGCCCAGACGCAUACGGGGGGCAGCGGUGGGGAAUAUAGCACAAUGGGCGGAAGCCGGAUGCAGGAACGCCGGGUGCGGGAUGACGGCCUUCGGGUUGGAAACCGCUUUCGCUUGUGACGAAGCGUGAGUGAGGGUAAUGGGGAAAGAAGCACCGGCUAACUACGU